GUUACUUCAUUCUUCUGUGUCGGGAAUUGAAUUCCGCCUUCUGCACGAAGCACCUGAUCGGUCGGGAAUUGAAUUCCGCAACAACCUUGCUUUGCUGCCGGCGGUGGUGGAUAACUUGGGAAACUCGAGUCUCUGAUCACCAACCACCUUUCUUCGAAUGUUGCCGCAAAACUGCACGUCUCGCUCAAACACCGCUUUCCCCGUUCACUCUUCUCAACCAUUCCACUUCCGCCGCCAACUCCUCCCAGUCUCUCUCUCCUCGCCGACCAAUGCACCACAAUACACCAUCUAAAACAAGUCCUCGCCCAGAUGAUCCUCACCGCCCGCAUCCGCCACGACCAUUCGCCGCCAGCCGCCUCCUCUCCUCCUUUGCCCUCUCCCGCUUCGCCGAUCUCACCGUCGCUUCUAGGAUCUUUUCCUCCCUCCCAUACUCACCCAACACCUUCAUGUGGAACACCCUCAUCCGCGCUCACGCCUCUAGCCCCAAUUCCCAUCACUCUCUCUGCCUUCACGUCUCCAUGAGGAAGCUGGGCGAUAUUCCUUAAAGCCUGCUCUAACAUUCCUCCCUGCCAGCCUGUACCCAGGUUCACACACACGUGCAGAAAUUCGGGAUGUGGUUUGAUUCCCACGUGGCCAAUGGUUUGGUCAGGUGUUACUCUGUUGUGAUUUUGCCCGUGCACGCCUUAUGUUCGAUGAAAUGCCGGCCAGGAGUUUGAGUCAUUGGACGACGAUGGUUUGUGGGUAUGCUCAGAAUCAAUGUUAUGACGAGGCUUUGGGGCUUUUUAAUGAGAUGAUUGGAGAUGGAUUGGAGCCCAAUGCUGCCAUGCUGGCUUCGGUGUUAUCGGCUUGCGCUCGGGCGGGGUAUCUUGAGCUUGGGCAGAGGAUUCAUGAGUUCAUGAAGGUGAAGAGGUUUGAAGGAAGUGAUUCUUGGGACGGCGUUGGUUUACAUGUAUGCGGAGAAUGGGGAGAUUUUUAUGGCUCGGAAGUUGUUUGAUGAAAUGAUUGAGAGAAAUGUUGCUACUUGGAAUGUGAUGAUCUCUGGGUUGGCUGCUCAGGCACAUGUUGAAGAUGCUCUUGGUCUCUUUGAGAAGCUGAAGGAGGAGCAACUUGUCAUCCCCAACAAUUAACUUUCUUAGGGGGUUUGUCGGCUUGUUGCCAUGCUGGCUUGAUUGAUGUUGGUCGUGAGAUCUUUUAUUCGAUGAAAAAUGUGUAUGGGUUGACCAGAAGAUUGAACAUUAUGGGUGCAUGGUGGAUCUUCUUGGGAAAGAGGGUAAGUUAGUAGAGGCAGAGGAACUGGUAAAAGGAAUGCCUUGGAAGCCUGAUAUUGUUAUUUUAGGAGCUUUGUUGGCAGCUUGCAAAAAUAAUAGAAAUACUAAGGUUGCUAAAAGAGUCGUAAAAGAAAUUCUUACUCUGGAACCUCAUAAUCAUGGUGUUCAUGUUGCGGCUCCUGUUUAUUGGCUUACAAGCAAAACAUUAACUAAUGGAGGUUGCAGUUGUGGCCUCACAUAUUCAAUGGUUGACACGCCACUGACAGACGACUACGGAAAAAAUGGACCGUAAAGCUACGCAGAUGAGCAUGUAAGGAACUGGACAGAGGCAGGGGAUGCAAACCAUGUGAUUUGUGGUAGUUAUGGCUAUAGGUGCUAACUUUUCAUAACAAUUUAAGGGGAAAAAAAAGGAAAGAAUCGCCACUGAUUCUUGUAGGAAGGAGGAAAUUAUAAUAUUCAAGAUUGCGCAUCUGGUAACCUGCAAAGAUGCAGGAAGUGAUUCCUAACCGUACCAUUCAGCAGCCCAAAAAUAAAACUAGUCUUCCGACAUUGACAAGACAGAUAGAAAAAGCAAAGAUUCAGUUUGGAAGGGUGAGAGACAUGAUUGGCGUGUUUAAAUGUUAAUCUUUCUGGAACUGUAGAAGCUGCGAAUGUGAGACACUGAAUCAACUGGGGGGUCUGACUCAUCAUCAGCAGAAGGUUCAUUUGCAAGGAAAGCAUGAGGAGCUAUUGGUUCAUUUGCGAAAAAUGCAGGAGAUGGGGUUGGGGCUAUUUCCCUGUUUGCAUGCAAAUCAUGAGAUGGGACUACAGGCUCACUUGCAAGCACAAUAUGAGGAGUUAUAGGCUCAUUUGUAGGAGCAUGGGAUGGGGUUGGGGUCAUUGACCUGCUUUGAGGAAAAUCAUGAGAUGGUGUUAUAGGCUCUUUUGCAGGGGAAGGAGAUUGUGUCGGGGUUAUUGCCUCAAUUUCAGGCAAAUCAUGAGAUGGUGUUAUAGGUUCAGAACUUGCAGGAAAAGCUUGAGAUGGAGUUGGGGCUAUUGGUUUAUUUUCUUGGAAUGCAUGAGAUGGAGAUAUUGGCUCAGUUGCUAAUUCAAUGGCUGAAACACCACUCAGGGAAAUGACUAGGGGCAAAAGAAAAAGCAAAGCCAUGGUAGAAAAAGAAGGGGGAAUACAAAGAAUACAAAGCCUUGUGAAUUUUUGGCUUCUUUGUGGCUGUGGCCUGUAGGAUGCUCAUCCCACCCUUCAGAGGAAUCUAUUUAUAAGCUAACCCUCACUACCCAUGUAUGCAGAAUGCAGUGAUGUUACAUGUGACCAAAGGAUUUCUUUUCUUGGGGGUGGUCAUUUUCCAAUUCUGCAAUAGUGCGAGCUGUUUGUACAUCAAACUGCUCUCUCUCUGGUUAUUUCUCAUUUGUUUCGUUAUAUACUAUGACAGUAAUUUUGAUAAUUCGAUGUUGUAAAAUAUUUUAUAU